ACGUAGGGUGCGAGCGUUGUCCGGAAUUAUUGGGCGUAAAGAGCUUGUAGGCGGUUUGUCGCGUCUGCCGUGAAAAUCCGGGGCUCAACCCCGGACUUGCGGUGGGUACGGGCAGACUAGAGUGUGGUAGGGGAGACUGGAAUUCCUGGUGUAGCGGUGAAAUGCGCAGAUAUCAGGAGGAACACCGAUGGCGAAGGCAGGUCUCUGGGCCACUACUGACGCUGAGAAGCGAAAGCGUGGGGAGCGAACAGGAUUAGAUACCCUGGUAGUCCACGCCGUAAACGUUGGGAACUAGGUGUGGGCCUCAUUCCACGAGGUCUGUGCCGCAGCUAACGCAUUAAGUUCCCCGCCUGGGGAGUACGGCCGCAAGGCUA
rnacentral:rRNA from 1 species